rnacentral:rRNA from 1 species
AUUGAACGCUGGCGGCAGGCCUAACACAUGCACGUCGAACGAGUGGCGGACGGGUGAGUCAUGUCUGGGAAACUGCCUGAUGGAGGGGGCUAACUCCUGGAAACGGUAGCUAAUAACGCAUACCAUCGGAUGUGCCCAGAUGGGAUUAGCUUGUAGGUGAGGUAAUGGCUCACGGAGGAGACGAUCCCUAGCUGGUCUGAGAGGAUGACCAGCCACACUGGAACUGAGACACGGUCCAGACUCCUCCGGGAGGAAGCAGUGGGGAAUAUUGCACAAUGGGCGCAAGCCUGAUGCAGCCAUGCCGCGUGUAUGAAGAAGGCCUUCGGGUUGUAAAGUACUUUCAGCGGGGAGGCGUUACCCGCAGAAGAAGCACCGGCGAACUCCGUGCCAGCAGCCGCGGUAAUUC